CUUUCAAGAUUCAAGAUUAGGUAAGUGUUCAGUGUACUAAGGUACAAGAUCGGGAAAAAAAGCGCGGAUAGCAAAUUCCUUAGGCUAGAUAGAGUGGUGGUUGUAAAUUACUAGGUAGCCAUACAACACUCGGCCCAAGCAAGGCCCAAAAGCCCAUGCCUUUUCUAUAAUAAAAGCCUCCUCAUCAACUCUCUAUCUUUCAAACCCACCUCACCGAGCUUAACGCCCUGUGGACUUUUUUACGAAGGCCUAACUUGACAGGCCCGCAGGUGAAGGUCCUGCAGAGGUCUUUUUUAGUGAUCAAAAUUGAUUAGGGACAAUGAACCAUGAUGAAAGUAGCUAUUGACCUGAGUGCUUUUCUAUUUAUAUUUGAAAAGCAAGGUGGGUUAGUUAACGAAAGGGUAAGGUGAGGCUGGAAUGGAUAUAGUAAGUGUGCCACGAGUGCUCCCUUCUAAGGCUUCUGCUUCUCUCUAAUAACGAGAAAAUGACUCUUUCAGAAAGCAAAGCUACAACUCUUCAGUCUAAGCUAUCUAAGCUAGAACUUAAGGCCGACCUCUUUUCCAGGGAUACCCCACUUCCCGGUCUAGCUUCACUAACUGUAUUCACAGCUUUCCAGAUCUCGGAACCAGAUCUACUUUCUCAUCGGCAUUCUCUAAAUGAAUUACGUUUCUAAAACUCUUCAAUCUAAGCUAUCUAAGCUAGAACUUAAGGCCGACCUCAUUUCCAGGGAUACCCCACUUCCCGGUCUAGCUUCACUAACUGUAUUCACAGCUUUCCAGAUCUCGGAACCAGAUCUACUUUCUCAUCGGCAUUCUCUAAAUGAAUUACGUUAUGGUCUUGAACUCUCGAUAUAUCAUAUGUAAUGAAUGAUCGAGGUUGUCUUUUCGGAAGAGGUGGGUGGGAGUGGGGCAAGGCAAGAAAGUAACAAUCAUACCCGAUAUUCAGAGCGCCGGAGAUAGAAGCGGCGGCAGCCAUAAAGUGGAGAAUUUCCAUCCAUUUGCUGUCUCCUUCGCUACCGCUCCGUGGGGUCAACAUUACGAAAUUAGCCAGGUUCAGUUCUGACUAUAGCUGCAACCUAUCUCAUAUUUGGCCGCCCUCGAUCACAAACUAGAAAUUUGAUAAGAUAAAGUAAAGAAAGAAUUUCGGGCUAGGUUCAAGGUAUGCCAGUUGAUUGAAAAAGAGACUCUACUUUCAAGAUUCAAGAUUAGGUAAGUGUUCAGUGUACUAAGGUACAAGAUCGAAAAAAAAGCGCGGAUAGCAAAUUCCUUAGGCUAGAUAGAGUGGUGGUUGUAAAUUACUAGGUAGCCAUACAACACUCGGCCCAAGCAAGGCCCAAAAGCCCCAUGCCUUUUUUCUUAUAAAAGCCUCCUCAUCAACUCUCUAUCUUUCGAACCCACCUCACCGAGCUUAACGCCCUGUGGACUUUUUUACGAAGGCCUAACUUGACAGGCCCGGACGGCCGAUUCAUAAGGGUCUGAGCCUUGGUCGGCUGCCCUACUAGGUAAGGCAAGCGCUCACCGAUUUCUUUACGUCUUUUCGACCGUGCUUUCCGUGAAUUGAAAGGGGGGAAUUAAUUAUCCAGCAGAGAUGGCAUCCAUUAGCUUAUUGUCGGCUCUCACUCUGGCUCAUCAUCCAGAGGCGGGUUGAGCCCCUUGCACAGCUUUUUAGCAGAUGAUUCCAGGCAAGACAAGAUCAGGGUCAAUGAAGUGUUUAAGGACAAUCAAUGGCACUGGGAUUGUCUGCACACUCAACCUCCAGACUUUGUGAAGAACAUCAUCUCCUCUAUACAGCUUACACUCAGUCCAGAUGAAGAUGAUUUGG
rnacentral:lncRNA from 1 species